rnacentral:rRNA from 1 species
UACGUAGGGGUCGAGCGUUGUCCGGAGUUACUGGGCGUAAAGCGCAUGCAGGCGGCUCAUUACGCAUGGCGUGAAAGCCCCCGGCUCAACCGGGGAGGGUCGUCGUGAACGGGUGAGCUUGAGGGUAUCAGGGGCUGGUGGAAUUCCCGGUGUAGUGGUGAAAUGCGUAGAGAUCGGGAGGAACACCUGUGGCGAAGGCGGCCAGCUGGGAUACACCUGACGCUGAGGCACGAAGGCGUGGGGAGCGAACGGGGAUUAGAUACCCCCGUAGUCCCUGAG